UACGAAGGGGGCUAGCGUUGCUCGGAUUGACUGGGCGUAAAGGGCGCGUAGGCGGUUUGUACAGUCAGACGUGAAAUCCCCGGGCUCAACCUGGGAACUGCAUCCGAGACUGCAUUGCUAGAGUAUGGGAGAGGAAAGCGGAAUUUCUGGUGUAGCAGUGAAAUGCGUAGAUAUCAGAAGGAACAUCAGUGGCGAAGGCGGCUUUCUGGACCAAUACUGACGAUCAGGUGCGAAAGCGUGGGGAGCAAACAGG
rnacentral:rRNA from 1 species